rnacentral:rRNA from 1 species
GUGCCAGCCGCCGCGGUAAUACGUAGGGUGCAAGCGUUGUCCGGAAUUAUUGGGCGUAAAGAGCUCGUAGGCGGUUUGUCGCGUCUGCUGUGAAAUCCUGAGGCUCAACCUUGGGCGUGCAGUGGGUACGGGCAGACUAGAGUGCGGUAGGGGAGAUUGGAAUUCCUGGUGUAGCGGUGGAAUGCGCAGAUAUCAGGAGGAACACCGAUGGCGAAGGCAGAUCUCUGGGCCGCUACUGACGCUGAGGAGCGAAAGCAUGGGGAGCGAACAGGAUUAGAUACCCCGGUAGUCC